rnacentral:rRNA from 1 species
AAGAGUAAGUAACGAACAGGGCAUUGCCCCAGUAACGGCGAGUGAAGCGGCAACAGCUCAAAUUUGAAAUCUGGCUCCUAGAGCCCGAGUUGUAAUUUGUAGAGGAUGCUUUUGAUGCGGUGCCUUCCGAGUUCCCUGGAACGGGACGCCAUAGAGGGUGAGAGCCCCGUCUGGUCGGAUGCCAAAUCUCUGUAAAGCUCCUUCGACGAGUCGAGUAGUUUGGGAAUGCUGCUCAAAAUGGGAGGUAUAUGUCUUCUAAAGCUAAAUAUUGGCCAGAGACCGAUAGCGCACAAGUAGAGUGAUCGAAAGAUGAAAAGCACUUUGAAAAGAGGGUUAAAUAGUACGUGAAAUUGUUGAAAGGGAAGCGCCUAUGACCAGACUUGGGCCCGGUGAAUCAUCCAGCGUUCUCGCUGGUGCACUUUGCCGGGCACAGGCCAGCAUCAGUUUGUCUUGGGGGAAAAAGGCUUUGGGAACGUGGCUCCUUCGGGAGUGUUAUAGACCAUUGCAUAAUACCCUGGGACGGACUGAGGUUCGCGCAUCUGCAAGGAUGCUGGCGUAAUGGUCAUCAGCGACCCGUCUUGAAACACGGACCAAGGAGUCGUCUUCGUAUGCGAGUGUUCGGGUGUAAAACCCCUACGCGUAAUGAAAGUGAACGCAGGUGAGAGCUUCGGCGCAUCAUCGACCGAUCCUGAUGUUCUCGGAUGGAUUUGAGUAAGAGCAUACGGGGCCGGACCCGAAAGAAGGUGAACUAUUCCUGUAUAGGGUGAAGCCAGAGGAAACUCUGGUGGAGGCUCGCAGCGGUUCUGACGUGCGAAUCGAUCGUCAAAUAUGGGAAUGGGGGCGAAAGACUAAUCGAACCUUCUAGUAGCUGGUUUCCGCCGAAGUUUCCCUCAAGAAA